rnacentral:rRNA from 1 species
UACGGAGGGUGCAAACGUUGCUCGGAAUCAUUGGGCGUAAAGCGCGUGUAGGCGGCUACGUGUGUCGGGCGUGAAAGCCCACGGCUCAACCGUGGAAGUGCACCCGAAACUGCAUAGCUAGAGUCCUGGAGAGGAAGGUGGAAUGCUUGGUGUAGAGGUGAAAUUCGUAGAUAUCAAGCGGAACACCGGUGGCGAAGGCGGCCUUCUGGACAGUGACUGACGCUGAGACGCGAAAGCGUGGGGAGCAAACAGG